AGGGGGCUGAUCAUGCUAGCUCAGGACUCUCUUCCUCUUUGUAUAAAGACAUCAGUCCUACUCCCAUGAUAACCUAUUAAUCCAUUAACCCAUUCAUGGAUUAAUGCAUUUAUGAGAGCAGAGCUCUCAUGACCCAAUCACCUCAUAAAAGCCCCACUUCUCCAUACUGCCACAUUAGGGAUUAAGUUUAGACAUGAGAUUUCAGAAGAAGCAAAC
rnacentral:lncRNA from 10 species